CCUACGGGUGGCAGCAGUGGGGAAUAUUGCACAAUGGGGGAAACCCUGAUGCAGCGACGCCGCGUGAGCGAAGAAGUAUCUCGGUAUGUAAAGCACUAUCAGCAGGGAAGAAAAUGACGGUACCUGACUACGAAGCCCCUGAUAACUACGGCCAAGCAGCCGCGGGAAUACGUAGGGGGCAAGCGUUAUCCGGAUUUCCUGGGUGGAAAGGGAGCGCAGGCGGCGCGGUAAGUCUGAUGUGAAAGCCCGGGGCUCAACCCCGGGACUGCAUUUGAAACUGGCGUGCUGGAGUGUCGGAGGGGCAAGUAGAAUUCCAGGUGUAGCGGUGAAAUGCGUAGAGAUUAGGAGGAACACCAGUGGCGAAGGCGGCUUGCUGGACGAAGACUGACGCUGAGGCUCGAAAGCGUGGGGAGCAAACAGGAUUAGAUACCCUUGUAGUC
rnacentral:rRNA from 1 species